GACGAACGCUGGCGGCGCGCCUAACACAUGCAAGUCGAACGAGCGAGAGAGAGCUUGCUUUCUUGAGCGAGUGGCGAACGGGUGAGUAACGCGUGAGGAACCUGCCUCAAAGAGGGGGACAACAGUUGGAAACGACUGCUAAUACCGCAUAAGCCCACGGCUCGGCAUCGAGCAGAGGGAAAAGGAGCAAUCCGCUUUGAGAUGGCCUCGCGUCCGAUUAGCUAGUUGGUGAGGUAACGGCCCACCAAGGCAACGAUCGGUAGCCGGACUGAGAGGUUGAACGGCCACAUUGGGACUGAGACACGGCCCAGACUCCUACGGGAGGCAGCAGUGGGGAAUAUUGCACAAUGGGGGAAACCCUGAUGCAGCGACGCCGCGUGGAGGAAGAAGGUCUUCGGAUUGUAAACUCCUAGUUGUUGAGGAAGAUAAUGACGGUACUCAACAAGGAAGUGACGGCUAACUACGUG
rnacentral:rRNA from 1 species